GUGUGCUCCUCCGAUCUCUUCUCAUCAUAUUUCUGCGGGUACAUUGGGUAUAUUAGCGGGCUUAUUCCAUCUUAGUGUCCGUCCGCCUCAACGUCUAUAUAAAGGAUUACGUAUGGGCAAUAUUGAAACUAUACUUUCCAGUAGUAUCGCUGCUGUUUUUUUGCAGCUUUCGUAGUUGCUGGAACUAUGUGGUAUGGGUCAGCAACGACCCCAAUCGAAUUAUUUGGGCCUACUCGUUAUCACUGGGAUCAGGGAUACUUUCAGCAAGAAAUAUAUCGAAGAGUUAGCAAUGGUUUAGCCGAAAAUCUUAGUUUAUCAGAAGCUUGGUCUAAAAUUCCCGAAAAUUAGCCUUUUAUGAUUAUAUUGGUAAUUAUCCGGCAAAAGGGGGAUUAUUCAGAGCAGGCUCAAUGGACAAUGGGGAUGGAAUAGCUGUUGGAUGGUUAGGACAUCCCGUCUUUAUAGAUAAAGAAGGACGUGAGCUUUUUGUACGCCGUAUGCCUACUUUUUUUGAAACAUUUCCGGUCGUUUUGG